rnacentral:rRNA from 1 species
CACGGAGUUAGCCGAUCCUUAUUCUUCCGGUACAUUCAGCUCUCUACACGUAGAAAGGUUUAUUCCCGGAUAAAAGCAGUUUACAACCCAUAGGGCAGUCUUCCUGCACGCGGCAUGGCUGGUUCAGAGUUGCCUCCAUUGACCAAUAUUCCUUACUGCUGCCUCCCGUAGGAGUCUGGUCCGUGUCUCAGUACCAGUGUGGGGGGUCAUCCUCUCAGAUCCCCUAGUCAUCGUCGCCUUGGUGGGCCGUUACCCCGCCAACUAGCUAAUGACACGCAUGCCCAUCUUAAUCCUAUAAAUAUUUGAACAUUGGAUAAUGCUAUCCUGUGUUUUUAUGCGGUGUUAAUCCGAAUUUCUUCGGGCUAUCCCCCUGAUUAAGGUAGGUUGCAUACGCGUUACGCACCCGUGCGCCACUUUCUUAAGGAGCAAGCCCCUUAAUAUCGUUCGACUUGCAUGUAUUAGGCCUGCCGCUAGCGUUCAUCCUGAGCCAGGAUCAAACUCU